UACAGAGGGUGCGAGCGUUGUCCGGAAUUACUGGGCGUAAAGGGCGCGUAGGCGGUCUUGCAAGUCCCGUGUGAAAUCCCUCGGCUCAACUGAGGAACUGCACGGGAAACUGCUUGGCUUGAGUUCGGGAGAGGGAAGCGGAAUUCCGGGUGUAGCGGUGAAAUGCGUAGAUAUCCGGAGGAACACCGGUGGCGAAGGCGGCUUCCUGGACCGACACUGACGCUGAGGCGCGAAAGCUAGGGGAGCAAACGGG
rnacentral:rRNA from 1 species